rnacentral:rRNA from 1 species
UACGUAGGGUGCGAGCGUUGUCCGGAAUUAUUGGGCGUAAAGAGCUCGUAGGCGGUUUGUCGCGUCGAAUGUGAAAUCCCGGGGCUCAACUCCGGGCCUGCAUUCGAUACGGGCAGACUAGAGUUCGGUAGGGGAGGCUGGAAUUCCUGGUGUAGCGGUGAAAUGCGCAGAUAUCAGGAGGAACACCGGUGGCGAAGGCGGGACUCUGGGCCGAUACUGACGCUGAGGAGCGAAAGCGUGGGGAGCAAACAGG